GACUCUUUUGGACAGUUGCUCACACUAUUUUUCCUUUCCUUUUCUCCUCCAGGGAGGUUCUGCCACUCUGUCUCUCAGUCUCUUCUGCUCAGCCUCCCUUCUGCCCUAGUGGGACCCAGUGUCCAGGGACUGCGUCAUGGGUCUUGAAUCCCUGCAUCCUACAAAGCCUGCCACACAGUCAGAGCUCAAUUCAUGGUGACUGAUAUGGAAGUUUCUGUUCCAUAAAGCCUGGAGGCUAUUUACUGCUCCUGACCCCAUCUCAUUUUAGAGUAGCUCAGAGUAAACCCCACCCAUCAUCAUGUAAUAUGAACACGCACUAAUACAAAUUGAAAGAGGUCGGAUUUAUUUAAACAUAUUUUAAGUGAUCAGUUUAUUCCAGUGGUUCUGUUUGUGUGUGAACUUCCACUUAGGCACCCAGAGGCCCACUGUUUGGUCUGGGAGCUCCCAGAUGCAGUCGAGUAAGGAGCAUGACCGUGGAACAGUGCGUGGAAGAGGGAUGGCAAAAUCGUCCGAGGACAAACUGGCAGCUUGUCCUUCUGGCACCCGAGAUGACUUCGUGACUUGGUUGUUCUGUGAUCUAAAGAGACUCAUCCCGUGCUCCAAGAAUGGAGUUCAGGAUGCAGAAGAAGGGACACUCAGUUCAGGGAAAACUAACCGGAGGAGGAAAAGAGAGCGGGAGACUGCUCCACUGAUUAUACCCAGCACAGGCUGUAAGCAGUGCAGGCUAUAAAGAAUUAACCCUGAAAUUGUCUUCUUUAAAGAAGUGAGUCCGGCUGAUUUCAGAGUGACUCUUACCCAAACUCCACUGCCAGACAUGAAAACGUCUCAACUGAAAAGACAGGCUAAUCAUUAACCACAACUUAUAUCUGUUCUGUUCCAUUCCUAAUGCAAGAAUGCUUUGUCCCGUCUUUUGAAAGCCUUUCCUGGGUCAGUAACUACACUUGAUCUUAG
rnacentral:lncRNA from 1 species